rnacentral:misc_RNA from 1 species
GAUGAAGAACGCAGCGAAAUGCGAUAAGUAAUGUGAAUUGCAGAAUUCAGUGAAUCAUCGAAUCUUUGAACGCACCUUGCGCCCUUUGGCCAUUCCGAAGGGCAUGCCUGUUUGAGUAUCAUGAACACCUCAACUCUCAUGGCUUGCCAUGAUGAGCUUGGACUUUGGGGGUCUUGCUGGCCUGUGGUCGGCUCCUCUCAAAUGAAUCAGCUUGCCAGUGUUUGGUGGCAUCACAAGUGUGAUAACUAUCUGCGCUCGUGGUUUCCAUCAGAUAACCUCCAGUGAUGGAGGUUCGCUGGAGCUCAUAAAUGUCUCUCCUAAGCGAGGACAGCUCUUUUAAUGUUUGCUCUCAAAUCAGGUAGGACUACCCGCUGAACUUAAGCAUAUCAAUAAGCGGAGGA